rnacentral:misc_RNA from 1 species
GAUGAAGAACGCAGCGAACGUGCGAAACGUAAUGUGAAUUGCAGGAUUCAGUGAAUCAUCGAAUCUUUGAACGCAUCUUGCGCUCCUUGGUAUUCCGAGGAGCAUGCCUGUUUGAGUGUCGUGAAUACUCUCAACUUCAACCCUUUUUUCGGAAAGGGAGGAAGGUUGGACUUGGGUGUUUGUUGAAGUGCGAGCUUCGACUCAUCCUAAAUGCAUUAGCGAUCUGCCUCGAUCACACACAAUGUGAUAAUUAAAACUAAAGCAUUGUUUAAUGAUCAAGUCGAGACUGCUUCUAACUGUCGCAAGACAAUAACGUGCAUACAUUUGUGCAUGUCAUUUGACCUCAAAUCAGGUAGGACUACCCGCUGAACUUAAGCAUAUCAAUAAGCGGAGGA